CCUACGGGGCGCAGCAGUGAGGAAUAUUGGUCAAUGGACGAGAGUCUGAACCAGCCAAGUAGCGUGAAGGAUGACUGCCCUAUGGGUUGUAAACUUCUUUUAUAUGGGAAUAAAACGUUCCACGUGUGGGAUUUUGUAUGUACCAUAUGAAUAAGGAUCGGCUAACUCCGUGCCAGCAGCCGCGGUAAUACUGAGGAUCCGAGCGUUAUCCGGAUUUAUUGGGUUUAAAGGGAGCGUAGGUGGAUUGUUAAGUCAGUUGUGAAAGUUUGCGGCUCAACCGUAAAAUUGCAGUUGAAACUGGCAGUCUUGAGUACAGUAGAGGUGGGCGGAAUUCGUGGUGUAGCGGUGAAAUGCUUAGAGAUCACGAAGAACUCCGAUUGCGAAGGCAGUUCACUGGACUGCAACUGACACUGAGGCUCGAAAGUGUGGGUAUCAAACAGGAUUAGAUACCCCUGUAGUC
rnacentral:rRNA from 1 species